UACAGAGGUCUCAAGCGUUGUUCGGAUUCAUUGGGCGUAAAGGGUGCGUAGGCGGCGCGGUAAGUCGGGUGUGAAAUCUCGGAGCUUAACUCCGAAACUGCAUUCGAUACUGCCGUGCUUGAGGACUGGAGAGGAGACUGGAAUUUACGGUGUAGCAGUGAAAUGCGUAGAGAUCGUAAGGAAGACCAGUGGCGAAGGCGGGUCUCUGGACAGUUCCUGACGCUGAGGCGCGAAGGCCAGGGGAGCAAACGGG
rnacentral:rRNA from 1 species